rnacentral:rRNA from 1 species
CCUACGGGAGGCAGCAGUGGGGAAUAUUGGACAAUGGGGGGAACCCUGAUCCAGCCAUGCCGCGUGUGUGAAGAAGGCCCUCGGGUUGUAAAGCACUUUCAGUGAGGAAGAACGCCUGGUGGUUAAUACCCAUCAGGAAAGACAUCACUCACAGAAGAAGCACCGGCUAACUCCGUGCCAGCAGCCGCGGUAAUACGGAGGGUGCGAGCGUUAAUCGGAAUUACUGGGCGUAAAGCGCGCGUAGGUGGCUUGAUAAGCCGGUUGUGAAAGCCCCGGGCUCAACCUGGGAACGGCAUCCGGAACUGUCAAGCUAGAGUGCAGGAGAGGAAGGUAGAAUUCCCGGUGUAGCGGUGAAAUGCGUAGAGAUCGGGAGGAAUACCAGUGGCGAAGGCGGCCUUCUGGACUGACACUGACACUGAGGUGCGAAAGCGUGGGUAGCAAACAGGAUUAUAUACCCGUGUAGUC